rnacentral:lncRNA from 1 species
GCGGGGCCGUAGUGUCACAGUGGCUUUUAGCAGUAUUUAAUCAUGGUAAAUACGUUUCUGUAAACGAUUGACCACUUAUAUUCGCGAGUAACUUUCUCAUUUGAAAAUUUUCUGCGUGGUUUCUUCUUAAACGCGUUUUGCCCUCAAUUUCAGUGGCACAAGCGGUGGAAAACUACCAGGGCUCGGAGGGAAGGUUCUUUCUUUGAUUGGCCAUGAAUGUGCCCAGGGCUUGGGGCCUUUACUGUUGCUAAAAGACCGCACACCGGAGUCACAGUUCUCGACCAGCCAGUUUGACCUCGCAGUAGUCCCACUGCAGCAGUCAAUUUCCGGUGUGUCAUGGGCAUUUUUGUGCAAUUAGAUAUGACUUAUUCAAUUGCAGCUUACCAUUUUUCUUUUUACGAGCCAUCACAGGCAUGCGUGCAACAUGUCACACUGUGUUGUUUAAAUUCCUUGUUAGUUUUUCUCCUUAUUAUGCACCACAGUGCCCCACACAAACACAACGCCACAACGCUUGCCAAUACCGCCUAAGGCUGGUACUCUGGAGAUAAUUGCGGAAGACCAGAAGAGGCUGGCCGAGGCAGUGGAGGGUCUGCGGGCUGACACAGCACAG